rnacentral:rRNA from 1 species
GAUGAACGCUGGCGGCGUGCCUAAUACAUGCAAGUCGAGCGAACAGACGAGGAGCUGUCUCCUCUGACGUUAUCAGCGGACGGGAGAUGAACACGUGUAUAACCUAACUAUAAGACAGGGAUAACUUCGCGGGACCGGAUCUUAUACCCGAUAAUAUAUUGAACCUCGUUGUGCAAUAGUUGAAUACGGUUUUGCGUUCACUUAUAGAUGAAUCAGCGCCGCAUUAGCUAGUUGGUAAGGUAAAUGCUUAGCAAGGCAAGGAUGGGUAACCGACCUCAGAGGGUGAUCGGCCACAUUGGCACUGAGACACGGCCGAGACUCCUACGGGAGGCCGCAGCAGGGACUCUUACGCAAUGGACGAAAGCCUGACGGAGCAACGUCGGGUGAGUGCUGAAGGUCUUCUGAUCGUAAAACUCUGUUAUUCGGGAAGUACAAAUGUGCAAGUACCUAUGAUCGUCUUGACGGUACCUAAUCAGAAAGCUCCGGCUAACUCCGUG